rnacentral:rRNA from 1 species
GUGACCUACGGGAGGCAGCAGUGGGGAAUAUUGCACAAUGGGGGAAACCCUGAUGCAGCGACGCCGCGUGAGUGAAGAAGUAUUUCGGUAUGUAAAGCUCUAUCAGCAGGGAAGAUAAUGACGGUACCUGACUAAGAAGCCCCGGCUAACUACGUGCCAGCAGCCGCGGUAAUACGUAGGGGGCAAGCGUUAUCCGGAUUUACUGGGUGUAAAGGGUGCGUAGGCGGAAUGCCAAGUCAGCGGUAAAAUCGCGGGGCUCAACCUCGCUCCGCCGUUGAAACUGGCGUUCUUGAGUGGGCGAGAGG